rnacentral:rRNA from 1 species
UUUAAAGUAUAGCCUGCCCCCUGAGUAUUUAAAUGGCUGCGGUAAUUUGACCGUGCAAAGGUAGCAUAAUAAUUAGUUUUUUAAUUGAAAGCUGGAAUGAAAGGCUGGACGAGAGAAAGACUGUCUCUAUCUGAAUUUAAUUAGAAUUUUAUUUUUAAGUAAGAAAGCUUAAAUAAUUUUGAAAGACGAGAAGACCCUAUAGAGUUUUAUAUAAAUUAUAUUGUCGGGGUGUGAGGGUUAAUUAGCUUUGGCAUUAUAAAAUAUAUUUGAUUGGGGCGAUUAAAAAAUUAAAAGAACUUUUUUUAUAUUAUACCAUGAAUGAAUGAGUAAGUGAUCCAUAAUUUAUGAUUAUAAGAUUAAAUUACCUUAGGGAUAACAGCGUAAUCUUUUUUAAGAGUUCUUAUCGAAAAAAGGGGUUGCGACCUCGAUGUUGGAUUAAAAUUAACUUUUGGUGUAGGAGCUAAAACGUUAGGUCUGUUCGACCUUUAAAAUUUUACA